rnacentral:rRNA from 1 species
UAGGGAAUCUUCCGCAAUGGGCGAAAGCCUGACGGAGCAACGCCGCGGGAGUGAUGAAGGUCUUCGGAUCGUAAAACUCUGUUAUAGGGAAGAACAAAUGUGUAAGUAACUAUGCACGUCUUGACGGUACCUAAUCAGAAAGCCACGGCUAACUACGUGCCAGCAGCCGCGGUAAUACGAAGGUGGCAAGCGUUAUCCGGAAUUAUUGGGCGUAAAGCGCGCGUAGGCGGUUUUUUAAGUCUGAUGUGAAAGCCCACGGCUCAACCGUGGGGGGUCAUUGGAAACUGGAAAACUUGAGUGCAGAAGAGGAAAGUGGAAUUCCAUGUGUAGCGGUGAAAUGCGCAGGGAUAUGGAGGAACACCAGUGGCGAAGGCGACUUUCUGGUCUGUAACUGACGCUGGUGUGCGAAAGCGGGGGGAUCAAACAGG